UAGUGGGAUGCCAGGCCCAAAUUAGGGUGUGUUCUUUGGACGCCAAGGUCAAAUCCAGAGGUAAAACGUUACUCAUCCAAAGGCUGCAGAAGAUCAAGCAAAGAGAGACGAUUUGAAAGGCAAACCUUAGGAGAGACUGAAUCAGAAGUCUGCCUGAGGGCGUCUCUGGUGUCUCAGUGGUAAAAAAUCUGCCUGCCAAUGCAGGGCACUCAGCUUCCAUCCCUCUUCCGGGAAGAUCCCCCAUGCCUCGGAGCAACUAAACCCCUGUGCCACGGCCCCUGAAGCCUGUGCCCUAGAGUCCGGGAGCCACAGCUGCUGAGCCCGAGGGCUGAGCGACCGAGGCCCCAGCACCCUCCGGCCCGUGCUCGCCAAGAGACGCCACCGCGACGGGAAGCCAGUGCGUCCCAGCUGGAGAGCAGACCCCCUCAGAGCCACGUGAGAGAGCUGGGCAGCAGCAGAGAGGCAGCACAGCCAGAAAAUAAAAGUGAAUGAAUAAAAUUAUAUAAAAAAGUUUGCCUGAGCGUCUUCCACCCAAAGAAGCAAGACAGAAAAGUAUUCUGCCGACGAGGUACCGGGGAGGGGAACCAGAUGGUCUGGAAGCAGGGCUUUUAGGGACCACUGGGGAUGCUGGUUCUGAGAGAAAGGGAACCAUCCCUGCAGAGGGCACCACCUCCUGGCUCAGAGAGAAUGAUACUGCGGCACUAGCCUUAUCCUCCAGAAGGAUUUUCUGCGGCCUGAUCUGCUCACAGUGCAGAGCUUCUUGCUGGCUUGCUGCGGCUGCAUCGGCAGAACUCUGAACUUUAUACCUUCUAUUCUUCUGGCCACUUUACAGAGACCAAUACAACCGACACGGUUGAAAGGAGCAAUGAUUGUGGCCAUUCCUGCCUGGUUCAGUCUGAAGGUCGGGGGAAAGUGCUCAACAUUUCCAUUUUAUGCAUAUUAUUGGCAGCAGGCUUUUGAGUUUUCUUUUUACCAGAUUAAGGAAAUAUUUUUCUAGGUCUAGUUUGCGAAGUUCUUUUAAAUUUUUAUUAUAAAUGAAUAUGAAAUUUUAUCAAAUACGUUUUCUGACUCUAUUGAGAUGAUUAUGUGUGUCCCUCAUUCUGUUAAUGUGGUGAAUUGCACUGACUGAUUUUUGAAUGUUAAAUCAAUCUUGCCUUCCUGGAAUAAACCAUACUUGCUGGGUUUGAUUUGUUAUUAUUCAGUUUUGAAUUUUUACAUCUUAGUCUGACAGAAAUUGGCCUAUAAUUUUACUUUCCUAUUAUAUCUUUGACAGAUCAUGGUAUCAAGGCCUUGUAAAACAAGUUGGAAUGUAUUCCCGUGUUACCUGUUUUCUAAAAGAGUUUGUAUAAGAGAGUUAUGGGGGAAUUUACAAGCAGUCUUGCUUGGGACUAGACUUCUCUUUGUGGAAAGGUUUUUAAUUAUGGAUUCAGUUACUUUUACAGAU